rnacentral:lncRNA from 7 species
GGUCCUGUGGUAUAUAAUCAAGCUGCUGAAGGGAAUAGCAAAAGGGAUGAUUUUUUAUUUCCUCCUAAAAGGAGUCAGUAGCAUGGAUCUCUCCUGAAAUACACCAGCUUGCUGCAAAGGAACAGAAACAUGAGUGACUUGGAUGCACCUUGGGCAGAAAGAAACAGAUCUCGGACAAGACACUGCUCUGUGCUGCUCUGGGCCUGAAGUGGAAGACUAUCCAUGAUGUUGGCCAGCUUCUUAUCUAAUUGAAGACCCCCAGAGUGAUCACAUUGCUGAAUGGUUGGAGAUACUUUCUUCUGGAUUUUGUUCAGGCUGCCCAAGAUAACCAGAAGACUUGAGAAAAUAUUCAGUGCGAACUAAGUGAAGGCUACUCAUGGCGACUUUCUGGUCAGUGGGGUUGGUUAGCAGAGCUCAGCACUGCCCCAGCACCAUGUUGGACAGUUCUGGGGGAAGGAACACAGCAGACUUUGCCUUGCCAAGUGCUCUGCCAGUGUUAUCUUUUUUUCUUUUCCUCACAGAAGGGAUAUAGUUUACAGAGUACAGAGGGAACUAUUCCUACAGAAGAAUAUUUGUUAACAUGCUGUUCAGCAGAUGCAACCUGGAUGCUGAAAAAUGUAUCCUUCUAGCAGUAACUUUCGUUUGCUGAAUAGGCUAUUCAGAAAAUUGACAUUACUACAUUGUUGGUUUUUUUCCAUUUUCAUUCCAAUACUUUUUUGCAUUGCUUUUUCAUCCUUCAUUUGCUGACUUCACAGACUUCUAUUUAAUUUAUAUUUUUUUAUAUUUAUGAAGAGAUUUCUCAUUUCUGAAAAACUCCUUCCUUCAUUUUUUGUUGUGUUGGUUUUUGUUUUUUUCAAUCUGUUUCAUAUCCAGUUUCAAAUUUCAUCUUGGUUUUUGUACAGUCAGACUUCACUAGAGUGCAUCUUUUCAAAUAACCCAUCUCACUAGAUUCCCCUUACGUGCCAAAAGAACAGUUGUAGCCUCAGUCCAUUAAAAAUACAUUGACUAUCAGCAAGGUCAGAAGAGGAAGCAUUAGAAGAAUAGUUAUUUGUUAUUUAGAAUUCAGUUGCAGAGAGCAGGUGAUUUUUUAAUGUCAAAUUAAAUUAAAAUGAAAAAAGCACGCAUGUCUCAUCCCUGCUAGAGCCAUAACCUUCUCAGAUGCUCUCAGUGAUGACCACCUCCCACUGGAACCAGCAGAAGCUUCUUGGCAUCAUGUCCCAGAGGUCAGCACUCUGCAGCUGCUUUGGAAAGGAGCCAAAUAGCUUGCUCACAGAUAUGUCCUCCUUGUGAAGAACAUUUCGCCAUCAGACUCUAUGCAAAAAGGAAGGAAUCUAGUGAGAACAUCCUGCUACUUAAGUGUUGCCCUCAGGAGAAACCUUGUCUGACAGAUUGUAAAUGUCUUUCUUUUCUUCUCCCUUUGAACAGGAGUGUGCAUUUGUGGAAAUUUUGGAAAGUGUGCAUAAAAUAGCUAAGCUACAGCAUUUGUCAUGUUCUGGUAGAUAUCUUAAAGAACCCAUAGAACAAAUCUGGCUAAUUAGCUCAUACAAGAGUGAGGUAAUGUAAGCAACUUAGAAAACAGUAAGUCAGAAACUUCUCUUAGUGUCAACAACAUGAAAAGUAAUAUAAACAACAGCAUUCAUUCUUCUUCUUUGUAAUUACAUUUCUGUAGCAACUCCUCAGUGCAAUUGCUCUAUUGUAAAUAACUGAAGGAUACCACUCGUGAUAUUUCCAAAAUAUUUUAUGAAGGAAAGUGUUUAUACAGGAUCAUUUGGUUGGCUAGAUCCAGAAUGUUACAUUCGUUUGACUCAUGUGAAAAUUCCUAGUGCCACCUAUUGGCAGAAAUAAUAAAAUGUU